ACUUUAUGGUUUGGGCAUUGCAUGAGGAUGUCAUUAAAGUGCUGCCACACCUCAUAUCAAAGCUCACUACUAAGUUGACAAAAAAUUUGUGAUUUCGUCUCUUAGUUU